rnacentral:lncRNA from 10 species
UUAUCCCAGCCCCUUCCUACUCCCAUUGAAUGCAGCUCUGUGAGGACACGAUAUUUGAAGCUGCAGUAGCUGAGGUGGCAAAAGAUGGCAGAACAGAAGAGCAGACAGAAUCUGGGUCCUAGAUGACUUCAUUGCACUGCUGCAACUGCCUUCUCCAGACCUCUUGCCAGAUCAAGCUGCAGAGGAAACAGCCACCUGGGGCGUGUUCUUACGUUGCCUGGAAGCUGCACAAGAGGCCAAGUCAAAACAUGCAGAAUUCCAGUUGCCCAUGAUGUCACAGGCUGAGGCCCACACUCCAGAGACACUGUGGACUGACUGGCACCUAUGAGCUGACCUAAUAACAGUUACACCAUUACAGCUCCGAUUCUACAGAACAAUACAUAUCCAGUUCUUAUCUA